UGGAAAAGAGAUUGCGACAUUCAUCUAUACAAUGGAUGCAAAGGUUGUCCUCAACUUACAACUGCAAUUAAGACCAGAAUGUUUAUUGUUAAGCAAGGCGGUUGAAUGCAAGUCAUGUCCAAGUGCCCAAAUUUUGAUCAUGGAGAUGCUGUGAGAGUUGUACAGGGAUAUAUGGAAGUUACAAUGUGAAGUUGACAAUAUGAAGCAAAACAAAAAUAGCAUCAACAACAACAAAACACACACUGCCAUGACUUUAUCUGUGUGAAUGUACAUCUGGGAAUGGGUUCUGGACUUGGAUUUUCAAAAUAUUGCCUGGAUAACAUCAUGGUUUAAACAUCAAAAUCUGGCCAUGAGAUAUAUGGAUUGUUGCGUUCAGAACCUUGCCUGGAUCAGCUGACUCAUCCUGCACUUGUAUCUCCUCUGGCACCAUAAUUUUUAUGGUGCACACUGACAUUCAGACAGUUUCAGAGUUAAGUUUGAGCUUAAUUUGUACCAGGAAUUAACAUUUUGAAAUCUAAAGGCAGAACUAAUGUUCCAUCCGUAAGCUGACCAAAUUAGUCUUCUAUUCCUACAGAAUAGCAGUUUAUAUUCCUUCUAUUCAACAGGAAUCCCAGGGAGAUGGUGGCGACAAAAUGGAGGUGCUGGUCUUUGGAGUUCAGCUUGUUGCAAGUGGAAUUGCAGUUCCUCUGAACGAUCCUACAUAUAUAGGACACGUUGACUUCUCUUAGGCCAACCCAGCAACCACCAAGGCAGAUACAGAGUUGGAACUGCUACAAUAUGAGCCGUGGGUCAACAAGAGAAGGUGUUGUCAGACAAACAGGUCACAAAUAUUGUCUUGAAAUCAUUAUGCUUUCUACACAGGAAGUGGCAAGUUCAGUGAUAAUUAGCCAUGUCUUUAUAGUGCAUUUAAUUUCCAUGAUGCCACAAUAGCUGCAACAGAAUGUUCACACAGUAUGUUCAAUGGAGUUGAAAGCUGGUAACCUUAUAGGUGAACUUUAAUUGGAGUAUCCUUAAAUUAAGACUCUAAUAGAUAAUAAGAUCAUUAUUGUUUAGGUCAGCUUCUGCUAAUCUGUGUUUGUGUACUGCAUGUAUUUACCAUAUUAGGCCUGUCAGCUACAGUAUCUGCACUCACACAUGUACAACUGCAAUAUAUGCUAUUUUGCAAUGGAUUUUUGACAUUUUUUAGUUUUUAAAAAAGCAAAGAGAAUUCCAUGCAAGUUGCCAUUUUGUUCAUUUACAUGAUUCAUUUAAAUCAGUUUUUAAACCAAUGUGCUCAGAAUGUAUCAGCAGCAGCUCUAGGGAUGCAUAUUACAAUUAUGACUUUGUCAGAAUGUAAAGGCAGUGGGCUGAGUCAUGAGAUUUAAUAGAGCCAUUCUGAGAUGCUGUAGCCAGGCACGCUGGCUGAGGAAUUCUGGGAGUUGAAGUCCACAAGUCAUAAAGGGCCAAGUUUGAAGACCCCUGCCUAAAAGUUUCUGGUUGGCUAUGAUCGGAUGGAAACAGAAUGCAUGAUUCUUUGGAAGCUAGACACAGUUUUAGUUUGAUCCAGCAAAGCAUUAAGCAUUCAUGUAAGUAGCACUUUAUUUAUUUCAUAAGCAUAAAAGAUAACUAAAUGCCUUCAAAAGCUCAGCUUCAGUUUUUGCUUUCCUUAGGGCAAAAUAUCACAUUUCUAACACCAGAGAAGGUACUUCUCAUUGGGUUGACAUUACCAAAUUAGAAGAGCUGCAUUUCUUAUCUUUGGUAACAUUGUACUUUAAUCCUCUUAUUGUUCCUGCCAACAUGUGACAUACACACAAUUUAGCUACAUUAUAUAAAUUAUACAACUCGCAACAAUUGCUUUUGAUUGUUUUUAUCACUUGAAAAAGGCACGGGCAAUUCUUCUGAAUCAGGGAGAAAGUCUAUAAUUGUAUAGCUGGAAUUAUUGUAGCCAUACAAGAGAUGUGGGAUGUCAGCUGAUUUUGUGCUGGUUGUGUUCUAACUAAACUCAUUCCAUUAAAUUUACAUUGUCAGCACAAAUAGUGCAAGUAGCACUUCACCAAGUUUUCUGUAAAAAUAACUACUAGUUUUUCUUUGUAACUUGUAAGUAAAUGUUAAAACGGCUGAAAAUUGCAUUUGUUAUUCUGUCUUACCUCUACAGUGCCUUUGCACAAGUCAAGGUGGAUAACAGAAUCAACUAGUCAUUGAAAUAAUACCCCCCCCCCAAAAAAAGGGCAAUAUAAUAAAAACAGAGACGGUGGAACAAACAAAACAGCAGCUUUGAAUCAAAUCUUUUUAGCCAAAGAACAGACCCCUUUCUAAACUAGAAAAUGGUGCAGUGAUAUAAGAGAGUGACUUCAUAGAGUCCUAAGAGAUUAAGUUGAUCUCCUUGAAAUUCUAUAGCUCUACUGAAGUUCAACUGAGAGAAAAUCCUUGAAAAUCGCUUUAGGCAAAAUCUGAUGGUAGCUCAAGAAUAUAUGAAGAGGUUCCCGAGAACUUGAACUGAAGUGGUUCAACUUCUAUUGCACUUCUAGCAAUAGUUGUAGAUAGAUCUAUUUAGCAUGUUCAGAUGCCAUGGGAAACCAAAUGACCAGGCUUAUGAUUCUAGUGUCUUAUAUAUAAAACUCAGUCUUGCCAGAGAUGAUCCAUUGCCUCAUUUCAAAGGGUUUUUAGUUCUGGUAAAAAAAUAAUAAUACACAACACAGUAAAUGUAGAUAUUUAUUUCAUGUGACUGUGAAAUGUGUGCUUGUCUCAGUCUAGUUUUGUGUUUUGUUUUUCAUAGGAAAUGGUUGUGUGGGUGGACAGUAUCCUGUUUCUCUGCCAAAAGCAUACAAACAGAACAUCCUAACCGCGCUUCGCGAAAGCCAGGAAACAGGAACGUUGCAGCAUUCAACAAGCUUUAUUCACUAAGUUGAAACUAAGUUAGCACUGGAACAAAGCACCAUUCAUUGCCCUAAAUACAUUCCUCCAACCACACCCAGAGUACACACCCCAAUUAACGGUUAAUUGGUCAUCUAGAAUCCACCUGUCCCCCUCCCCAUACUUGCCUCGUGAUAGUCCUCCACCCCACCGACACCCCGAUCCAGCUAGUACUUAUGUUCGAAACUUAUAUUGAGUCCAUGCGUUCCGUUCACGCCAUUCUCAUUCCCAAUGUCCCACUCAACCUCUUCCUAUAAUACCCCCUCCCGGUAUCCAAGUGUUGUCAGACCCAGCGUCCCAGUUCCCAUCAUUCACAGAGUCACGGUUCCAGCAACAUAAGCUAUAACAGCUCUAACAGUAUUCGGCUUCUCCAUAUUCCAUUUCUACGUAGCCUCCGUCUGGUUGUGUGCUGGCAACAUAGGAUGUUCACGUGACCCAUUCGGCCGCCGCUGUUGGCGAUGUAGCUCAUGAAGCUACCGGACUCGGCCGGAACACAUGGUUAACUGGAACAUUCCGGACUUCGGAAGGUAAGUAUCACGCUGGGUCUGACAUUCAGCCCCCCUCACCACAGGGCCCCCUGAUGGUGAGAAAUGGGAAAUUGAUUAAUCAUGCCAAUGUACAGAUACAAUAACCUUUCUAGUCACUCCCUGGUUUGUGUGGUAGUGCGCUGUGAUACCGACGGAUUAGAUUAGGGGCGGAUAUAUCGUGUUUUUCUACCCAAGAGGCUUCGGACAGAGGGUAUCCCUUCCACAAUAUCAGAUAAUAGAGUCUACCCCCCCUUACUCGUGAAUCAAUUAUGUCCUGUAUUUUAUAUCAUCCUGGCGUAACAGGUCCUGGGGGUGUCUCAUGGAACGGUCCUCCCAUGGGUUUCAACAAACUUACAUGAAAAACCGGGUGUAUCUUACCAAGUAGUUUCGAUGACAAAUUCCAGAUGGCUAACCUAUUGGCACUUGAUGUAACCCAACAAUAACAACGUGGGGAAGACUUGAACAUUAAAAGAUGAACAUCAGAACACACAGUGCAGUAGUUUGGAGAGCCAUGCAUUGUAGCCUUAUUUACCUCAGUAGCCUAAUCACGUAAUUCAAACCCAUGUCAAGAACAUGAAGGCUCCACCCAUAUUUCUUGGCUCUCUCAUAAUGGACCUCAAGUAUAACAGUCUUCCAAGGUUGCAGAGAUGCCCAGCAGAAGUAUUAAAAGAAAGAAACUACAACCAUUAGGAAUUGAAUCUUACUCCUGAUAGUUGAAGAGAGUCUCUGUCCAUAUUGGUCAGCAAGUCGCCCUCUUCUUUUAAAACAUAACUUGGUAUUUAGCAGUUAAUGCAGCAAUAAUUACAGUAGACUCAACUUACAUAGGAGUUAAGCUGUUUGCUCUGCCGUACAUAAUACAAGAUAUAUAUAUCUGUAUAUUUUACCAGAAAAUUCUGAAAAUUUAUGUUGUAUACAAAAAUACUGUUGGGGGAGGCACUCCCUAUUGAUACUGAAAAUCAUAAUAAAAACAUGUAAUCAUGAAAGCCAACAGUUGUACAUACAUAGGUUUUGAGAUGGAUGGUCAUUCCCAGCUUACUGUUUUUGUUUUGUUUUGUUUCCAAUUGUAAAAUCUUUGAGGCUCAUAGCAAUUAAUACUAUUAGAUGAAAAAAUAUAAUUUAGUAUUUGCAAACUGGGAUUUUUUUUUCCAGAAAAGUCCAGUAAGAUAAUCUAGUUCAAAGUAGAGCAUAGUAUGGACCAAUUGAUUGUACUUUCCCUUCGGGUUUUAAUAUAAUAGAUCCUGUAUUCAGUCCACAACAGGCUAAUCCAUGCAUAUUCACAAUGGAAUGGGUUUUUUCUUGUAAUUUCUUUUCAUAUUUCUGUCAUAAUAUUUUCAUAGAUAAGACAAGUGGCUAAUUUACAGUAGAACUCUGCUCUGCAUAAGCCACACAGGUGAAAAUCAAGGAUAUGAUGAUAUAUAAUAGAUUAUGGUAUAAACUGACACUUGUAAAUUCUCAUUAAUUUCAAAUAUAUUUUGUUUUUUUCAUUAAUAGCCAGAGCCUAUUCCCAAGGUCUUGUGCUAAGAAAUAGCCAUGAUUCCCAGGAGUUUUCAUUAGGAGCUGUCCUAGGUCCUGCUCAAUGAGACUCAAGAUUAACUGUUACUCAAAAGAAACAUACUGCUAUUUGUUAUUGGACCUUCUUCAGUGAUCAGUCUUUUCCAGGUUUUAUUUCACACUAUUUCAAUCUGGGGCUGUAAAAAAAAAAACACCUCAAGGCCAUAAAAAUAGACUUGGAUUUCUGGAUAAAAUAGCUUUCAAUUUAGUCCAAUUUAAAACAUAAAAAGACAUUAAACAAUCUAUAUAGCAAAUGUUUUCACAUUUCCAUCUUUUGCUAUGCUAUGAAAUUCUAUGUUAUCAUCCAUAAAAUAAUUAAGAAAGGACAAAUUUGGGGCCAGAAAUCCUUUUAUUUAUACAUCAUAAUGCCUUUAAAAACUGAGCUAUCAAGCAUAUUCCCAGCUCUAUAUUCUUGUCAUAUAUUCCAGUGGCACAUGGGUAAUAUUACUUUGAUUGAUACACAAUUUAAAAAGUCCUAUAUUUUACAAGGAAAAAUGAUCUACUCAGGCAAAGAGCCAUUGUCAUAAGCAAGCCCAUGUUUCCUGGUCAAAGAUGAAUUACAGAUUCAAAGGUUUAUUUCCUUUUCACAAUACAAGAGAAAAGAAUAUUUGACAGGUUUCUAGGACUUCAGAAGUCUGCUGACAACCAAAAAUAAAAUAAAUAAAAUAAAAAAUAUGACAGCUCUUAGAUCCCAAUGUAAUUCAACAGGCUGCUGUGCACAAAUCAAAGGCAGCAUUCAAAAGGGAAAUUCUUUUUUCCUCCAUUUUGUAUGGGAACUAUGUGUGAUAUAGUGGAUUAGUUUGCAGGAUGUAUGUUUGAUAAAUAGUAUUCAUUUUAUUACUUGUGGGUUUUUUUCCUGCUUUGUCCAAAAAGAAAAGAAUUCAGAGCUUUAUUUUUAAAACUAUAUUUUAAAAAGUUUAAAAUCUAAGUAAGCUUGCAAACCUUUAGGGAGAAUAUCUUGGUCACCAACAGAUGGUUCAGAGAUAGAGUCUCCAAGGGUGAUUGAGGAGAUCAAAAUCAGAAAGUAUAGUCCAACUUUGGAACUCGCUUAUAAUUUUUUUAAAAAAAUACUCCUUCUAAAGUUCUUCUUUCUUCUAUAUUAGAGCUCCAAAAUUUGGAAAAGGAAUGGGGAGAGAAGAACAAUGUCCCUUUUUUAAUGUCUGCUGGUGUUGGUUUAGAGCUUUAAUAUUUAUAUCUUCAGAGUCUCAGAUAUGGAGAUAAAUUUAUUAGUUCUGUGGUAAAGGAUAUUUCUGACUUGGCAAGGAAGCUAACCCAAACUCAAACUCUCUUGCACCAUUGUGCAAGUCUAGAGCUGGCAGUGUUUUAGAUGACUAAGAGGCUUUUGGAUUAUAGUUCUGCAAAAUUGCAGGUAGAUUGCCUCAUAAAUACUAGUCUAUGACAAAAAAUAAAGAUUGAUUGACUCGGGAUUUUGAUUUUAAACACAUACACAGAGAAACACAAACACACUUUCUUUAAUCAUUAAAAUACUUGAGACAGCAAUACUACUGGAUUUUCAAUAGAAAAAAGCAUGAAUAUUUGCAUAGCUGCAUUAUGUAUAGACCCAGUUCAUUAUAGUGAUUUAAAACAAUAGACAUAAUUAGUUCUAAUCCUGCUUAGGCCCAAAUGCAGCCUGGUGGCUUUGGGCCAAUCAGUCUCUUCCAGUCCUAGGAAGAAGGAAGUGAUUUUUUUUUCCAAAAAUGUUGUUCAGAAAACUGCAGGGACUUGUCCAGGUAGUCAUCCAUAGUUAGUAAUGACAUGAAGCUCCAUAUACACACACAUGCACACACACAAAACACACAUACACACACACAUGCAUAUACAAAUCUGAAUUUAAGAAUGCUUAAGAAAUUUGAUUUUUGUGAACUGUUAAAAACUAACUUGACAUAAUAUAAUAUAUUCAUCAUUUUUUUCUUCUUAAAUGAUUUGAUGCAAUUUUUUGCUCAGAAAAAAAUGAGAAAAUAUAAUAAAUAUAAGGUUUGAAUGGCAUUUUUACAAGUUAUUGCAUGCAAUACAUUUGGAAAUAUUAUUUUCGAUUUUUAAAAAGAAUCCAAAUAUUAUGGAAAGCAGGCUAGCAUAGACUUUUGAGGAAACACAUAUAAAACUGCAUGGACUGGAAAUAGACUGACCUACCCCUUCCCAGACAAGACCUAUGGGAAAAAACCCAAUUAAAUUAGAUAAAUGGGAUAUAAAAUAUGGAUAUUGUCUCAUUAGUAAUUGAAGCAAUCUGCUAAUGAAAUGACAGAAAUGAAAUCAAACCACAACAGAAUACAUAUAAAAAUAAAAACCCUCCUCUCUAACUAAAAUUGAUAUAGUAAAUGAAUGAUAACUGACCCUUGUUUUCUCAGGAGUCUGAUACAUUUACAAAAAGUAGAAAUAUAUAACUUGCUUUUGUCACUGUUGCAUAGUGGGUAGAAUGUUAUACUUGGAUUGGGGUUCAACCCCUUUCAGCUAUGAUACUCAGUGCCUUUGGGCUAAUUCUUCUGGGUUUGUCUAACUUCCUCUGGGUCUAUCUGGCUUCCUAAGAUAUAGUGUGACUACUCCAUCUAUACUGGUCUGAGGUCUUUGGAGGAGAUAAAAAAAUAUCUGUUACAAAUGGCUCUGUUAAACCAGGGGUCUUCAAACUUGGCCCUUUUAUGACUUGUGGACUUCAACUCCCAGAAUUCCUCAGCUAGGCGUGCCUGUGUUAAACCAUGCUAUGAUAAUUAAAGUAUUUAAUAUGUUGGUGCAAAGCAGGCACAAUCAUCCUCAAUCAGCAGCUUAAGGCAAAGAUCAUGUUCACAUGGCAAAAAAGAAGUGGCUGCAGAUUACUUCCAAUCUGGGAAGGAAAUGUGCCAUUUUACUUCUAAAAUUUGUUUCCGUGGGUGGAUUUCAUUUAGUGGACUAUCACUAAAAAAAAAAAAAAAA